UUUUAUUUGUUUUUGUGUCUAUCUUGGAUUCCCCAGCCGUCCCCCUCAUCUUCCUUGGGUUAUACAAAUCUCAAUGAUAAGUCUGAGAAAUUUUUUCUACCAACAAAGAUCUUUGAGCCCUGUUAAUAUUUGGUUUUCAAUCAUUCAGUUUCGAGGUCAACAAUAAGGUGACAGCUUAUGGUCGCAGAAAACAAAAGUUUGGAGCAACAGAGGACAGCAUAUUGAACUGAACACAGCACAAACAUGUGUGUAUACAUACAACGGGUAGCAGUAAAGGCGAGUUGGGAAAUCCUAUCUCCAAGGGAAAGUAGAGACUUGUGUGGAGGAGAUGGCGUGUGGGUUGUUAUCAUGUUGCAUUUUAAAAACCAGAUGUUUUACACACACAUGGGGAGAAAUGUGACUAAAUGGCCAGCUAUUAUGCCAUGGGACCUGUUGAGAACGAAAAGGAAACCUGCUGAAAGGAAAAGCAAGUGAAGGCUACCGGGCUCAUUACAUUCUCUGUGUGCUGGCUGGUUACUGCAAUCUAUUCUCUGGCACUCGAUAUGGAUGUUUUUAAUAAACCUGAGAGAACCAUCUCCUUGUGCAUCACACUCCAUUGGCCAUAUGUGGAAAUCAGUGUCUCUUUCAGAAAGAGACAGCUUAAGCCAACAAAAAGAAGGAAAACAAAAUCCUCAAGGGCAACUCUACAGAAUAUCAGCUUCAAUUGCAUCAUGCUGAAGUAGGAAGGCAUCUCAGACUGAGACUUGAGUCCGGAAGUGAAUAACAGCUUUUUGCCUAGAAUUCCCAAUUGUGUGAGAUGGUUAAAAUUCCUGGUUCAGGAGUGAGCUCCCGCAAGUCUCCAGUUUCAGUUGGUCCAUCUUAUGAAGUGUAACAGCUGAGAAAUAUAAAGAGAAAUGAUGGAGGGUCUGUCUACUAAAGGAACAGGUACUUCUUUCUAACCAUCAUCUAUUUUCAGGUCACUGCAAUGGCAGAGGAAAUCGCAUUUUUUUUUUUCUUUUUCUGAUUGGUUAGUUUUAUACGGUAUCAACCGCUUUAUUAACGUAUACUAGUAUUUGCUCGGGGUUGGGCACAUCUAUAUAUACAAAUACUAGUAUAUCUGCCAGUAUCUCUCGUCACCUUCCUCUCAACUCCCGUCUCUGUCAAUCUCUCUCUCACCUUUCCGAGCCGCUCUGGUGAACUCUCUCAUUCAUGCUUGAUUUUUUAUUUUUUGGUUAUGAUUCUGCAAGUAACGGCUAGGCUAGGUUUUGAUUAGCAUACAUUAGUUGAAAUUCUCAAUAUCGCCGAUAGCUUUCUUGACCUAACUUUGCGUUCUCCUUAGUUGCGUUUAUGAUUUUGAUGGUUUUUCUUAUAAUCUGUUAGUGAUUCUUCCGACGAAAGCAAUUUGUUCCAUCUGUCUAUCUCAAGUUAAUCUCUGAUAGCUUGUUCUUCACGUUAUUGUGGUUGCUUUUAUGUUUUGGGUUUUGUUUUCUAACGAACUCCAUUGGCCUCUGUGUCUUGUUCCUGACCUGUUUUGCAAUUCUUAUAUAAUCUUACUAAAUGUCUCACGAAAUUAUUGGUCUUUUUGUCUCUCUCUCUCUCUCUAGUUACUACUGUUUAAUCAAUCUUCAAACACAUCUGAGAUGGAUCCUCUUGGUGGGUUUUCACAACUUUUUGUGUCUUUUAACAAUGCUUAUGCUACUAAGGACUUUGACAAAUGCGAUCAGAUCUUGUCUCAACUUCAGGCUUAUGUGGCCCAAGAAAGGAAUGCAGAUCAACAUAAUCUGGUUGGUUCUGAAGACAAUAGUUGUCUGGUCCGUGGCAUGCAACAUCCUCUGCUGGUCAAUGUUCAAAAAGACCCUGGCUUUCAAGAAGAAGCAGCUGGCCAUCUCUCAAGUGCAGUGGGAGGCGGCUUGGAUGUUGGUGGUUUUCAUGCUGAUGCAGUGGGAGACGGCUUGAAUGUUGGUGGUUUUCAUGCUGAUGCAGUGGGAGACGGUGUGGACGUUGAUGGAUUUCAUGAUGAAGAUCAAGAUAACGGUGUUAUCAACUUUGAUGAUCUUGUACUCGACUUCGACGUAAUUGAUGGUCUGGAAGACCUUGAUCCGGCUUCUGUGGAUAAACUCAUGACAGAUCUUCUUGAUGAUGAUGUUUGGGACAGUUCUAUCUCCGUCUGCUGGUGGAAAUCAAGUUUUACCUGUCAAGCAACAGUAUCCCGGUGCAGUUAGGGCUCAGGAUGAGAUGGUUGGUGGAAAUCAAGCAAAUGACGAUGAGAUGGUAACAGAUGACAGUGAAGCAGAUGGUCUUGAGGACAAAUAUGCAGAUGGUCAUGAGGACAGUUAUGCAGAUGGUCAUGAGGACAGUAAAUCAGAUGAGGAUAUGGGCAGUGAUGCACAUGACGAUGAGGACACUGAUGCAGAUGACUAUGAGGAGAUGGUUCAUGACCAGCUUGAAGAGUUAGCACGACCACGUCGGUCGAUAAAACCUACUGCCAGAUUACUGCAGAGUGCAGGGAAUAGAAACUUCACCGAGUUCGUCAGAUGAAGAGUGAAAUUGUAGACAUAUGAAGACCAUUUGUUUUUGAAAAUUCUUUUUGAAAAAUCUUAUUUUUGUGUCUUGAGAAUGCUUCAGAAAAGCAUUAUUUUGUUUGUCUUGCCAAAAUUUUUGUAAAAUGUUGUCUCUCUGUUCUCACUCUCUUGUGUUGUUGCUCUACUUUGGUAUCAUUUUUUCGAUUUGA